rnacentral:rRNA from 1 species
CCUACGGGAGGCUGCAGUGAGGAAUAUUGGUCAAUGGACGCAAGUCUGAACCAGCCAAGUAGCGUGAAGGAUGACUGCCCUAUGGGUUGUAAACUUCUUUUAUAAAGGGGUAAAACGAGGCACGUGUGCCUUUUUGCAUGUACUUUAUGAAUAAGGAUCGGCUAACUCCGUGCCAGCAGCCGCGGUAAUACGGAGGAUCCGAGCGUUAUCCGGAUUUAUUGGGUUUAAAGGGAGCGUAGAUGGGUUGUUAAGUCAGUUGUUAAAGUUUGCGGCUCAACCGUAAAAUUGCAAUUGAUACUGGCAGUCUUGAGUACAGUUGAGGUAGGCGGAAUGCGUGGUGUAGCGGUGAAAUGCUUAGAUAUCACGAAGAACCCCGAUUGCGAAGGCAGCUUACUAAACUGUGACUGACAUUGAUGCUCGAAAGUGUGGGUAUCAAACAGGAUUAGAUACCCGGGUAGUC